CGACUAUUCGCAAUGAUGUUGAUUUUGCCAUUGACUUGACUGACCUAUUCUGUCGUAACCCGCAGACUGUCAAAAGGAGAAAGAGUGUAUCAGCUAUUCUUCUGUAGAGUAAUAUACCUGCCAGUGGCUGUGAAAAAAAGGUAGAGUAACACAUCACUUAGGUUCUCUAACACUAUCAGCAUCAACAAGAAAACAUACCUUUCACCAGUCCCCAAAAUCAGAGAUCCUCAUGCACGACCCAUUCUGUUAGAAGCCUGAAUGAACAUCUGACUUGUAGAGAGCCAUGAUGGUCAAGCAUUCAGGCUUAACUGCAUAAGCAGCCCAAAUCAGAAAUCAAAACCAUCACCACACACACAGGACAAUUCCCAAACACAGGGAAUUUGCCAUUAAUGUCCCAGGUAAUUUGUCAUUAGGAUAAAACAUGAACAAGGCAAAAUCUAAGAUAGGAAUGAUCCAAGCCAUGGGGUUUUGCCACACAUGCAUGCAGAUUACAUCAGCAAGAUGUCACCUGGAAACAAGCAACUGUGCAUUGCACAAAUGGCAGUCUGCAAGCAGACCUGGAAAGGCACUUCAGGCAAAGAGCAUCACAUUAAUCGAAGCCAGAGAAGUCAAAGGCAUGGAUACUUCCAGCACAGUGUGCAUCCAUGUCAAAAAGCAUUAUCCUCCAAACCCAGACAGAAAUUAAAAUAUGCAUGGUUUCAGCCACUAAACUCAGGAUAUUCAGAAGCAGCUGAAGCUCCCCCAUAGCUUUGAGAAAAUUCCUCAACGGAUAAGAGCUGCCUCAGCUCUCUUCUCCCAUCAAAACAGCAUCGAAUCCCUCUUACCUGGACCAAGACCCACUAGUUUUCAUCCAGGCCCCAAUUUCAGCUAGACAUUAACAAAGUUGACAGAGAGGACCAAUCCAUUAAAAAAGAGACAGGGCUAAGAAUCAUUUGCAUAGUGACAACACAAUCCAAGCUAUUGCACUGCCUGUUUCCUGCAGACAGUGACCCAGAGUGGGACAAAGCAGAAAUCAGUAGUACAUCUCUGAAGAGCUGUAAGCCCCAGGGCCCUUGAAGUCCUCAGAAGUGAAACACUGGAGCCACACACAGUGUAAUCUCUGCCCCUUCCUGCUAGGAUCUGCACAAGGUUAUGUUAACAGUACCUCAUAGUCAAAAGAAGCAGCAAUAACACAGCAGAUUGAAAGCUGUUCAUAGAUUUUGGAGAAUAAAGAAAAAAAACAA